AUAUCCUUCAACCUUUCUUGGGUUUUCAACCAAGGGAGGCUUGGACUUUGGGGGUGUUUCAUUGCUGGCCUCACUUGAAGCCAGCUCCUCCUAAAUGGAUUAGUGGGGUCUACUUUGCCAACGCUUGACGUGAUAAGAUGUUUCUACGUCUCGGGUUUGGCACUGUUGCUUUGGACUCUGCUUCUAACCGAGUUUAUUAA
rnacentral:misc_RNA from 1 species